GAAGUGCCUACACACAGAAUAGCCAGUUUGUGAAGGACCAGCUCCCUGGAGAUAUUGAUACAUUUUAUCCAGAUAACCUUUAGAUGUUUAUACCUUAAAAGUUACUCAGUUGAAGUUGCUUUCCAAUUAAACACCAAGGCUGCAGUGUUUCUGUUGUGAUUGUGGAGGGAAGUGGAGCCAGUGAGAUUUGUCCAUGUUUUAGAAAUCACCAUCUGGCAGGGAUAUGGCAACAUGUGAAAUCUUCACAGGACUCUUGUUUUUCUACUAUCUGCUGGAUAACUAAGGAGAUCACCAGACUGCUGGGAUGCCUGCCAGAUGGUAAGCAGGUGUAGAGUUUCUACAGUCCUGCUGAGUAAGCAUGUGCUACCUGUAGGAUCAUAAGCAAUGUCAACAAACAUCUGCUAAGUGUAUACCCUGUUCAUGGUGCUGGGCGAGCCAUUUCAGCAAAAUAAAAGUGAGGGUCUGUUUUAUUUUAUUUUGAUUGUUCAAAUAGACUAUCAUAGGCGAAGAAUACCUACCUAGUCGAGUCAUAACAAAAAACUCUGUAACGAUCAAAUAUUCACACUGUUGAAUCAGGGAAGUAAGUGGUAUUCAGUAGAGUGGCUUCUGUGAAAAGAAAAGGGCAUCCCAAACAAUUUUGACAGAUAAUAAGUGAAUAUCACAAAAGAGGCAGUGGCUGGUACACAGAGAUUUAGUUCUUUAAAGUUAGGUUUCAGUGCUUGCUCAGCAAUAUACUAUAGCAAUAUGACCCAAUGCAAGUUUCUGAAAUUCUCCAAGCUCCAAUUAGCUCAUUUAUAAAACUGGUGAUAACAGUUCUACCUUUUAUGAUUGUGGUGAUAUUUGAAAAAUAAAAAAUGCAAAGCAUCAGCAAGCAUAUAGUUGCUCAAUAAAUGGGGCCAGUAUCAUUAUUACUGAUAUUACUGCCAUCUGGAGAAGGUCCCCUCUAGGUUCAAUCCCCAGAUGCCGAAUUUGCUUACAUGAUUUAUAUAAAUACAUAGCUAAACUUAUUAAUUUGUAUAUUUAGAUGCACAUGAGGUCUAUCUGCACUUGUGCACUAUAUAAAUAUACGCCAAUACAAAUAUAUAUCCUAGUAUUCCAUAUACUCUGUCUAAUCAAAGGAAACAAAAAUAAAUACUUUGAAAGCUCUGUAAUUAUACUGAGUAAAUACUAAUAGUUUCAAUUUCCAGAAGUGAUAGGGCAAACUGCUGAAACUUUCUGUGUCGUAGAUACAGAACAGAGAGACUAAAACCUGCUUCAUAGGGUUGUAUGAAGAUUAAGUGUGACUAUUUGUACAUAACACGAUGCUGGACAUUGCAUGAUGCCCCUGACAGAGAAUAAAUGAAUAAAUGUUAGCAUCCUUUACCUUCCCCUUCAAUUACCAGUUUUCCUCCACCUCUGAAUUUAGUCUGUAUUUGCACAUCCUUGCCUUCUUCUCUCCAGAUGAAGGAUAGAUGUCUCUGCUUCUUUCUGACCCUUCCAAUUACAUCCUUAAUUCCAUCAUUCCCCCACCAGAAUUAGUUCUCUCAAUUACAUGAUCCCUCUGUCUAUUUUUAUCAUAAAUUCCUUCUCAUCCACUAGUUCCUUCUCCUUAGCUUACAAUAUAGUCAUUUCCCCCAUUCUAACAAUAACUUUCUUAAAGAAAUAUUACCAAAUGACUGAAGAAAUAGAAAGCCUAAAUAAGUCAAUGACCAUGCAGGAAACUGAAAAGUUCAUUAAAGAUCUGUCUCUAAAAAAUGCCAGACAUAGGUAGAUUUCUUUUUUUUUCUGACUCAGGCAGUUUUAUAUUGGGUCUAAUAAAACUGAGUUGAACAGACUUUUUUUUCUUGUUUACAAAAAUAAAAAUGAUUAAAAGACUCACAUUUCUUUUACAGGUUAGCACAACCCUGACACUAAGUUAUAAGCAACAAUAUAGUAUAGUACACACACACACACACACACACACACACAAUUAUAGACCAGACUCACUUGAAAAUAAAGAAGCAAAAUUCUAGUAAGUAGAUCUUAGACUAAAAUCAGGAAUUGCACCAUAACCAUAUGGUAUUGAGUGCAAGGAUGGAAGGCUGGCUCAACACAAAAAUAUCUAAGUAAUUUUUUACAUGUAGAACAGUAGACAAAAAAUGAGAACUCAAGCAAAUCGUUAAAAAGUCUUUGAAAGAAAGUGUCAUUCCAGAUCUGCUUAACGUAAGUUAGGGAGAGAAGAUAACUGCCUUCUAAGGAAGUUAAUUUGUCACAAAUCACAAUAAAACGCACAGUGAGUGGUGAAAUACUCAAAUCAUCUUCUGUUGACUCAGCUUCCCUUAUUUCUUACUUCCUUCUCUUUUUCACCAACAACCACAUUGCCAGCCAGGCCGUGUUUACUGCCUCUUCUUACUCAUCUCCUGGACAUUUUUCAGCCCACUGCAAAUACUUCUGCUCCUACCUUUUACAAAAUCUCUUUUCUCAGAGGACACCAAUAGCCACUUAACUUCCAAGUCCACUGGUCUGUUCUCUGGCCUCAUCCUCUUUUAAUUUCUCACCAGCAUUUCUGACUAUGAGGCACCACCUGUUCAUCUCCUCUCCCCGCUCGACUCUGGCAAUAACUCUUGCUUGACUCUCCUGACUUUUCGCUUGGCAUUUCUCAGCCCGUUACUGCCUCCUUCCUCUACCUGCUCCUCAGCAUGUGGGAUCCCCAGAAGCCCACCACUUACCCUACCCAGGGAAUGUAGAUCAAGGUUCAAGAGGAAUGAGAGAACCAAGAAACUAGUCACCAAACAAAGUAAACAGAAGACCGUAUUUAACAAUUUUACACAUGACUUGCAACUUUUCCUGUUAGAGUCUAAGUGCAGUAGACUUAAAAACAAACAACAACAAAAUACAUACAUGUAUGUAUGUAUGUAUGUAUGUAUAUAUAUAGUGUUAUGUGGGUAAUCUCUGCCUAGAUUACGUUGCUCAUUUUAAAUAUUUUAAAUAUUUAACUUAAUGUAUGAAUCUUUUCUGUGAUCAACUGUACUUGAUUAUCUUUAAGUAUGGUCUUGAUACCUAUAGUUAAUAUAGUAAUUUAAACUUGAAAUAUGAGUUUUCUAAUUUUGCAUCAUUUUGAUUAUUAACCCUUUUACCACCUAUUUAAUUUGAAGGCAACUGGUGCUAUUAGAAUUAUAAGGAUGUAUUUGAAUGUAAUUUAGUAGAAUUCAGCAAUCAUUUAUUAAAUUCUAGUGGCAUGUGAAACGUUGUGAUAGUCAUUCUUUAAUAUGUUGGCUUUAAACAGAUGCUACAUAAAUGCAACGGACUGACUUCCAAAUAUAAAGUAACAACUUUAACAAAGAGCUGAUGUUUUGAUCUUGUUAACUUUGACAUACCUUCCUGUCCCUAAUUUGUGAGCAAACAGUAAGCCAAACAUAAACAUCAGAAAGUUACACAGGGGUCUCCAAAUCCCUUAUUAUGCAGUCAGCAAUCUCUCAAUAAAACUCUUCAGUAAACUGGAUCAUCAUUCUCCAUUCUCUCAUCUCCAAAUGAUUACCACGUCAUUUUUUGCUAUUUUCUCCCCUAUACCUCCACAAAACUUGGACACCACAAAUAUUUGUUAAGUAAAACUCCUUGCAGCCCUUUGUUGCCUCCUUUCUCCCCACUGACAUUUGUAUCCCUCAAUGUUAUACCUUUCAGGUAAUUUAAGAAGCCAGUGUUUCUGUGUUCUCUCUUAUUUGAUACAUGUUAGAAAAUAUAAAUAAAAAACUCAAACCUAGACAACAUAAAAUAGGGCAUUAUUCACUUCAUGAAGAGAUCCUUAACUUUACAAAAUAUUGCCUACUGAAUUCCUCUAAGUAGCAAUUUUCUCUGGUGCAUGAAAAGUGUAAGUCAAUUAAGUAACAUAUAUUUACACUCAACUUUUCCAAAACCACAUCAGUUCUACAAACUGGGCUGCACUUUGUCCCCAUCAGAUUACUGCAUCCCAUACAACAUGGAAUGGAAAAUGAGGCACAGCCAGACAAAAGAAUAUGAUUUCCUGACUCCAGCUGAAGCACUUACUCAUCUAAAGUAGUAGAUUCCAAACGUUUAAAAAGCCAUCAAAAUAUUUCUUCAAUAGAAAUCUUCUAGGGCACAAUUUUAAAAGAGGUGGAAGUCCUAGGGUUAUGUUCCCCUGCCACUCACCAACUGGCCUCAGGAUCACCUACAAAAAGCCUACCGCUGUCCUCAGAGUAAGAUUGAAAGCCAUUGUACUAGGCUAUUUUCUCCUUGUUAAAGAUGUGGCUACCAAAAUCAUAAUCUUACAACAGAUAGAGUCCCAGUGUGCCCACAGGGGCCUUACAAGGAGCGUGCCUGGUUCUUUGUUUAAAACGGGACCCCCAAGUAUAAAAAUCAAACAAAUAAUCUUAUCUGACUUGAUUGUUUAUAGUUCAUGAUGCGUGAUCAAAACCAAAAGUUUCUGUGAUAUGACUCCUCUUGCACUGUUCACCAUGUAAGAAUUUAUU